rnacentral:pre_miRNA from 1 species
CCGCCAUGGGACUUCAGGAAGCAGAGCCCUGGGGUGUUUCCACCAUGGUCUCGACUUUUCUCCUCUUCCUCACCCUCCUCACUUACUGGGCAGGUGC